UAUUUGAGGAAGUAAAAGUCGUAACAAGGUUUCCGUAGGUGAACCUGCGGAAGGAUCAUUUGUGAAUUUUGCGUGUCUUGCCCAUGAGCAGAGCGCGACCUCUCACUCUACACACUGUGCACAUAACAAUCGUGGAUGGAACCGAAGCCGUAAGGCCGACGUGACAUCUUCGUCUCAUUUUUACACGAGUAAACGUAUGUCAUAACAUAAAAAUAUGAAAAACUUUCAACAACGGAUCUCUUGGCUCUCGCAUCGAUGAAGAACGCAGCGAAAUGCGAUAAGUAAUGUGAAUUGCAGAAUUCAGUGAAUCAUCGAAUCUUUGAACGCAUCUUGCGCUCUCUGGUAUUCCGGAGAGCAUGUCUGUUUGAGUGUCAUGAACUCUUCAACCCACCAGUUUCUAGUGAACUGCUCGUGGUGCUUGGAUCUUGAACGUGUGCUUUUGCCUUCGCGCAGAGCUCGUUCGUAAAACAUUUGCAUCCCUGACUCGAAUCGGAUUGACUCGGCGUAAUAGACUAUUCGCUGAGGACAAGCUUCGCGCUUGGCCGAAUCGUAGGCUUUUGGAAGCUUCUAGCUAGUCUAUAAAUUUUUAGAUUUGACCUCAAAUCAGAUAGGACUACCCGCUGAACUUUAGCAUAUCAAUAAGCGGG
rnacentral:rRNA from 1 species